CAGCCGCCACGGUAAUACAGAGGGUGCGAGCGUUAAUCGGAUUUACUGGGCGUAAAGCGUGCGUAGGCGGCUUUUUAAGUCGGAUGUGAAAUCCCUGAGCUUAACUUAGGAAUUGCAUUCGAUACUGGGAAGCUAGAGUAUGGGAGAGGAUGGUAGAAUUCCAGGUGUAGCGGUGAAAUGCGUAGAGAUCUGGAGGAAUACCGAUGGCGAAGGCAGCCAUCUGGCCUAAUACUGACGCUGAGGUACGAAAGCAUGGGGAGCAAACAGGAUUAGAUACCCCGGUAGUCCCUGUCUCUUAUAA
rnacentral:rRNA from 1 species